rnacentral:precursor_RNA from 12 species
GACCCUCGGCGAAAAUGUACAACCCCCUGUACGUAUACUGAAUGUAUCCUGAGUGUAUUCUUUUCCGGUAUACCUUCAGUAUACGUAACAGGAGGCCACACUUUGAUCUUCAGGAACG